GCUUCUCAGGAAAACCAGGAGAAUCAGGAAAACCAGGUUCGCCAGGGAAAGAUGGAGCGGACGGUUUCCCUGGAAACGACGGCGAGAAGGGACAAAAAGGAGAAUCUGGACAGGAUGGCUUCCCUGGUAAACCUGGACCAAAGGGAAAUGAAGGCCCUCCGGGACCCCGAGGACCUCCUGGUGAACGGGGAGAGUCUGGUUUGACCGGGCAGGGCUGGCCCAAUGGGACC